rnacentral:rRNA from 1 species
GUUUCAGCCGCCGCGGUAAUACGAAGGGGGCUAGCGUUGUUCGGAAUUACUGGGCGUAAAGCGCACGUAGGCGGACUGUUAAGUCAGGGGUGAAAUCCUGGAGCUCAACUCCAGAACUGCCUUUGAUACUGAUGGUCUCGAGUCCGGAAGAGGUGAGUGGAAUUCCGAGUGUAGAGGUGAAAUUCGUAGAUAUUCGGAGGAACACCAGUGGCGAAGGCGGCUCACUGGUCCGGUACUGACGCUGAGGUGCGAAAGCGUGGGGAGCAAACAGGAUUAGAUACCCGCGUAGUCC